AACGAACGCUGGCGGCAUGCCUAACACAUGCAAGUCGAACGAGACCUUCGGGUCUAGUGGCGCACGGGUGCGUAACGCGUGGGAACCUGCCCUUAGGUUCGGAAUAGCUCCCCGAAAGGGGUGCUAAUACCGGAUAAUGUCUUCGGACCAAAGAUUUAUCGCCUUUGGAUGGGCCCGCGUUGGAUUAGCUAGUUGGUAGGGUAAAAGCCUACCAAGGCGACGAUCCAUAGCUGGUCUGAGAGGAUGAUCAGCCACACUGGGACUGAGACACGGCCCAGACUCCUACGGGAGGCAGCAGUGGGGAAUAUUGGACAAUGGGCGAAAGCCUGAUCCAGCAAUGCCGCGUGAGUGAUGAAGGCCUUAGGGUUGUAAAGCUCUUUUACCCGGGAUGAUAAUGACAGUACCGGGAGAAUAAGCCCCGGCUAACUCCGUG
rnacentral:rRNA from 1 species